rnacentral:rRNA from 1 species
AGCGAACGCUGGCGGCAGGCCUAACACAUGCAAGUCGAACGACCCCAUCGGGGUUAGUGGCGGAUGGGUGAGUAACACGUGGGAACGUGGCUUUAGGCUCGGAAUACUUCUGGGAAACUUGUGCUAACACCGAAUGUGCUCCUCGGGGGCAAGAUUCAUCGUACUUAGAGCGGCACGCGACCGUCUAGCUAGUCGGUGGAGGUAAGGUCUCACUAAGGUGACAAACAGUACCUGGUAUGAGAGGAUGGACAGCCACAUCGGGACUGAGACUCGGCCCAGACUCCUGCAGGAUGCAGCAGUGGGGAAUCUUGCCCAAUGGGCUAAGUCCUGACGCAGCCAUGCCUCGUAAAUGAUUAAGUUCUUAGAGUAGAGAAAUUCUUUCACCGGGGGCGGUAAUGACGGUACCCAAAGAAGAAGCCCCGGCUAACUUCGUG